CCUAUUUCUUUUACGUCUGAACAUUAAUUUUUGUUCUUGUUUUUAUUUUGUUGUUUGCUGUGUUGUUGAGUCUCCUUCCGCAUCUGGGUUUGUUUUUGUUUAGCUAUUUGCCUGGGUUUGUUUCUUUAUGUACUCGGUUUGUUCUGGUUGACUCCUUUGGUAAGAGUAUGCAUUUGCGUUUGUAGCUUUUUAGCUCUUAUUUUCCUUGAAUGUGGUGUUUAUUUUAAUGAAAAGUUCAUUAACCCGAAAAUAUUGAAAAAAAGGGCUGAUGUGGAUUUAUUUCUUAGCAAAAGUAUAAACUUGUAUACUUGCUGGAGCUGGUGUGCAUGUGUUUCUUUGUAAAAGCAUAAACUUUCAUACUGAUGCCCUAAGUUAUGUGUUUUGGUUUAAGUAUAUUAAAUGUGAAUGACCGUGACGUGUAAUGUGCGCCUACAAAUAUGUUUGAAGAGACUGUGAUUAGAUGUGAAAUGUGCGUGAAUGGGUCAUAAUUAGGCCCUAAAUCUAUGAGGAACUCUUGAUUGUGGGAUUCAGAUAAAUGCAGUGUGAAGGCAAUAAGAAGGAAGACCACUAGUGCUGGUAGGAUGAGGUAUCUUCGCCAUGCCCCUUGCAGGUUCAAGAGUGGUUUCAGUGAAGUCCUCAAGCUGCCCCAAGGAAGCAGGUUGCAGCAGCUUCAGCAUAAAGUGCUGUCAGAUUGUUUGGAAUAAGCUGUUUUAUGGGAACAUUACUUGAGGAGCUGUUAUUACAUUGAAUGCUUUAGUUGUUAUUAAAUUUUGAAUUUUAGUUUUUAAUGCAUGUCUCUUAUAAAUUUUGAAUGUGAAUUAUGGAUGUCAUUUAAUAAUUUGUUAUCAAAAUUUUAUUUGGUAA